rnacentral:lncRNA from 1 species
GAAGGAGGCGGCAAAAGGAAAAAGGGAGAUCAGGAAGCAGCAGGGUCCGCUGGCAGAGCCUCUACGGGGAGGGGAGAAAGGAAGCAAGAAGGGUGGGAAAGCGAAGAAACAGGCCGGCAGGCGGACCACCCUGAGGCGCCAGGAGUGGAACAAAAGCGACCUUUCUUCUUUCCUCACUUCAGCUUCGCGGCUGGUUCUUCACACCAUCAGGCCCCUCAUCCAAAAGUCUACCUGGAGGCGGAAUAGCAGCCGCCACGGCCGGGCCCUUCCCUUCCUUGAGCCAGGCCGGAGUCCGUGCUUCAGCUUCCCCCUCACCCCCUUCCCUUCUUUUCUCCCUCUCUCCGCCCUUACUUUGCCCUGCCGCGGCCUGCACNAGCCCUUCGAGGGACGCUUCCGAUUCCCGGGGUCUGCCGAGGUCCGGCCGACGCUACGGUCCGCGCUUUCCCCCUUCUCCCUCCGUUGGGCCGUUCUUACCUGAGCGCGCCAGGCCUGCCUGGCUGCCUGGGCCUCUCCUGAGGAACUAACGGCGGGAGCGCGGCCAAAAGCGCUGCAGCCGAGUCCGGAGGAGGAAGAAGAAGCCGCACUCCGGGGCCUGCCGGGAUCUUUUCUGUCUCCUCACUCUCAGCCGCUUCUGGCCCUCCCUCUCUUGGCCUAGCCGAAGAAAGGAAAGCGGGGAGUGAGUGGGGGAGGAACCAGUCGAGUUACCUCAGAAACAGAGACGGAAGGGGGAGAGAACGGGUUAAAAAACCCGAGAGAAGCGGGCACGAGUCUCCGUUGCUUUAAGUGCUCCCGGCCGCCGCCGCCAUCACGCUGCCGCAGCCGCUUACUAGUACUGCCUCUUUCUUUCCCCCCUCCCCUCGUCCGAUGGAAACCCCUGGCGUGAUGUCAGCCCUGGGACAGAGCGGGAAGGGGAGGGAGGAGUCAGGAGAAAGGAAUAAAGCGAGCGAGGAAGCGGCCGGGUCGGCCUUGUGUGUGCUUUCUUCUGCUGCAGCAGGCAACCAGGGUGGCGAGCGCGCGACGAGGUGGAGGCGGCGGCGAAAUGACGAGCCAGAAGUUGCUGAAAUGGUACCAGCACUUGAAAAAGUGCCUGAAGAAUGAGAAAUGAAGCAGAUCANGAAAUCAUUCUAUAGGGAUAGUUGAAAAGUCACCCAAUAUGGGUAACAUCUACUCAGGAGUACUUCAAAAUCCUGAACUAACUAAAAUAUGCAACAACACUAAAAUAAACCUCCUUACCAGAGGACUGGUAAAUAGUCA